UUAGCAGGGGAUCAAAUACUUCCCCCCCUCACUAUAUAUCUUCACAACAUUUGAAAAAAUGCACCACUCAUGGUGGAUUGUUCUAACCAAAUCACAGUACUCUUUUGUAGGCACAGAUGCAUUCUGCCCCAAGAUCAAGAAGGGCCGGAAUAUGCAGGAAAGGUCUUAAUGGUACCCAAACUGCAGCUGGGAGAUGACCUGCAUCUGAUAGAAGGGAACAAGCAGUAGUUGGAGAAGUUGGCUCAGAAGAGGCAGAAAGCGAGAGGAUCAGAUGGGUAGCUAGAUGGGUCAAGAAGAGGACUCUGAGGGUCGUUGAAGUUUUUUGGGCUGAGAUGGUGAUGAAACUUGGGUCAGGAAGAUGGUAUUUAGGUACGCCUUUGCACAAGUCUUUUGAUGAGGCCCUCCAGAUGUGAUGAGCUUCCAGCCCCUAUCAACCCUGGCCAUUGGUCAUGCUGGCUGGUGUUGGCAGGACCUAAAGUCCAACAACACCUGGAGACUCCCAGGUUCCCCACCUAGAUAAAGCCUACCUCUUUGAAAAAUGUAGUUCAGAUAAAAGUUAUUCUAUCACAGCUGACCAGUGCCCUCUUGCCCAUUUCUAUCACUUUGCACAGUUGUCAGGUCUAGCUACUAAAUGUGGCAAGUGCUGCGUUCAAGCCUGAAGGCAUUUUGACAGCUGGACAUGUGCCUUGCAGCUUCCAAGAAGGUGUCAGCCCAAGUGUCAGGAGUCUGCAAGCAGUGGAAGAACGCCCACUAGGAGGGAAGAUGCAGGCAGCUUCCAAGUACAAAUAAGAGAAACGGGACAUUCAUUUAAGGUCUCUUUUAUGGUAUCUGGGAAGCCCAAAAUGGCAAGAUGUCUCUUAAGUGAAGGGGGAGCCAUGUUGGUCCAUUGCAGAAGACUUUUCAAGUCACCCUGUGGAGAACUUCCUCACACACAAGAGGCCUGGGCUCUCUGAAGUCCAGGGACUUCAAACUGGGACGUCAAAUUGUCCAGUAAGCUGACAUCAUUGUGACAUCUGGAGACGGACAGAUCAGCAGCUCCAUCCACCUGUCUAAUUUGGCCUAGGUCUGGCCCAUGGAGCAACGCACUAUUUGGUGCAUUUAACUGACCACGCUGCUGGAGAAUCGAGACAAGCCGUUUUGCAGCCAAACUUGCAUGUCCUUACAAA